CAGGGGCAAUGCCUGGGGGCUCCCCAACUCCCAGCUCAGGGCUUUCCCUGGUGGACAGUGGAAGCCUAAGAGUAGGGAGCCUGGCAGGCUGUUCAGAGGUACAGGGGAGGCUGUGACCACUCUCCCAGAGGGCUUCCGUUUGCUCACUGUAGAGUGGGUUGGGUGGGACAAUUCACAUCCACACACCUGGGAACCAGGGCUGGGUCACUCCAGAUGGCUGGGUUUGGGUGGGGCAGUACCUACCCCGGAGUGGCUUCUCUCCUGGCGAAGAAGCGGGCCCAUGAGAUGGGGCCCAGCUGUUGGGCCAGUGCAGUCUCCCUAGGUAGGUAGAAUAAUUUUGUCCCUCAAGGCUCUAACCCCUCCCCAGUCAUGGAUUUGGACACAGCUAGCCUGGGCUGCUGGAAGUGGGCUCUUGCUUCCCAGUCUGCGUCAGCAGCUCAGCUUUCCUUGGCCAGCCAUCAGCCUCUGGGGGUCAGAGGCCUGUUUACAGGGUUCAUAGCCAAUCUCCGCACUUGGGCUGAACAGCAAAUGGGAGGGCCAGGGUCAUUUGGAGAGCUGGUGCGUCAAAUCCUGUGACAAAGAUGGGGGAGGGGAGGCAUAAUGGGCAUCAGUCAGCCCUAGACACCUGGACUUCAGCAGCCAAGGCAGGAUGGGCACACCUGUGAACUUCCAGACUGACUUAUUAGCAGGGACCGGAAAUCAACGUGUGGCCCAUUUGUUCAGUUAAAUUGUUUUGGCUUAAAUAUGCGGACUUUGUUAACUGGGUGAUUUUUAGGGAAACAUUUGCUUGUGGUUUAGUGAAAAUGAAUCUGAGUUCGACGUACUAGUUUAGUUCUGGUUGGGGUUUACAGAAUGCUUUCUUCAAAGAUGCACCAAGGCUGGUGUACCUUUAAAAGGGGGAUGGUUGCCUUUAUUUAUUCUGUAAUUUGAUUCCGGCUUUUCCUGAAAAAUCUAAACCAGAGCCAAGCUUCCUGGGGAAAGCUCUGCUCCCUUUUUUUUCCGGCAACAUACUUAGCUUUUAAGAAAUGUUUGGUCCUUUCCAGACUAGAACUGUGGAACUCUUGUAUCCCUCUCAUUAGAACAUAGAAAGCCAUCUGUUCACCACGGAGCUCCAGUCCUCAGGAUAUGAAGUCACUGCAGCCAGGAGCUGCGUGUACUCAGGUGGGAAAGCAGAGGUUCAGAGGUGAAUAAACACUCAGGUGCUGCAGGAGCACAGAGAGGCACAAACCCUGAGCAGGCGGCCUGGGUGAAGGACAGAGACGAGUGAGCUGGAGUCACGGACGCAGGGAGUGGCAGCAGAGGGGUGCAGCAUAAGGAACAAAAUGGAGAAGGGCCAGCAGGAACUGCCGUGGAUCCAUGGGGCCAGAGUAUGUGGGAAGGUUAGAGGAAAGGAGGGCGGGCCCCUGGGUGUGGGCAGUGGGAGGCAGUGGACAGACCCACUCUCCCAGUGUGCCCCCAACAAAAGAUCACACUUCCCCAGCACUCCCUGUAGUUAGGCAUAGCUAUGACCAGGUGAAAACCUACUUGUGAAGCUGAUGAGUGGAAUGCGGGGUGGAUUAUGAGUGGAAGUGAAAAGUGCAGAUUUGGCUUCCUGUCCUUAGAAAUGAAGCUGCU
rnacentral:lncRNA from 1 species